UAAGGAAUAUUGGUCAAUGGACGCAAGUCUGAACCAGCCAUGCCGCGUGAAGGAUGAAGGUCCUCUGGAUUGUAAACUUCUUUUAUCUGGGACGAAAACGGGAUUUUUAUCUCAAUUGACGGUACCAGAGGAAUAAGCACCGGCUAACUCCGUGCCAGCAGCCGCGGUAAUACGGAGGGUGCGAGCGUUAUCCGGAUUUACUGGGUUCAAAGGGUGCGUAGGUGGGCUUAUAAGUCAGUGGUGAAAUCUCCGAGCUUAACUUGGAAACUGCCGUUGAUACUAUAGGUCUUGAAUUAUCUGGAGGUAAGCGGAAUAUGUCAUGUAGCGGUGAAAUGCUUAGAUAUGACAUAGAACACCAAUUGCGAAGGCAGCUUACUACAUAUAAAUUGACGCUGAGGCACGAAAGCGUGGGGAUCAAACA
rnacentral:rRNA from 1 species